rnacentral:rRNA from 1 species
UACGGAGGGUGCGAGCGUUGUCCGGAAUCACUGGGCGUAAAGGGCGCGUAGGUGGCGCGGGCAGUCAACGGUGAAAGUUCGGGGCUCAACCCUGAAUCGGCCGUCGAUACUCCCGGGCUUGAGCACUGUAGAGGCUAAUGGAAUUCCGGGUGUGGCGGUGGAAUGCGUAGAGAUCCGGAAGAACACCGGUGGCGAAGGCGGUUAGCUGGGCAGUUGCUGACACUGAGGCGCGACAGCGUGGGGAGCAAACAGG